ensembl:lncRNA
AAAUUAAUAGGCAGGGUUAUUAUAGUUAAUUAAAACUAAACCAUAAAAAACAACAUUAACUUGUUAAAUGAGAUAAACCAACUAUAUUAUGUAAUAAAAGUGGCAAAAACGCACAAGUAAAUUCCUAAAACUUAAUAUGAAAAGGGAAAAAAUAUGUAUAAAAAAAUUAUAAUUAUAAAACUAUAAUAGUAUUUCACAAAAUGUGAAUGUACAAAAUAUGCUUUAACAAUAUUAAUACCUACAAAUACUAAUAAGACUAAUGGGCUGGAUCUUCACAUGUUUGUUAAUUAAUAUUGGACACUCAAAUCCAAAGCAUAAGCCACUGUCAUUUAAUUCUGUAAAACAGGCCAGGUGGUCUUACAGUGCUCUCUCACCCUUGUACACACAUGGGAACCAUAAUGGAGGUGGUUUUUAUGCAGCAGUGUGCAUAAUUGUUUACCUGCUUCAUGCAUUCUGCGAGCAGCAGGGUGGUAUGCAUUUGAUGCCCUACUGAGUGUUCCUUACAGACAUGUCUGGCUCACAGCCUAUCCUUGAGUUUGGACAAUAAAAGCUCCUGCUACAGGCUGCCUAGAUUUCAUUCACAAAACCUCCAAAACCGGCUAUUAGCUCGACCUACAACAGUGCCUGAUGAUAAGCGGAAGAGAACAUGAUGAGAUAAAAGGAAGGGAGGAGAGGAGAAAAAUGCUGGGAAAUGAAGUCUACAGUCACCGAAACAUAAUCUGAGGAACGCAAAGGUUUGAUUAUUAAGACAUUGAAUUAAACCAUUUGAGGUUCCAAGUUUAUGAAGGCGGAAGGGGCCGAGGGUGUUGAAGGACAACAGGAAAGACAAGCUCAGAUGAGUCCUUACAGGACCUUAGUGAUGGAAGACAAGUGUGUGUGUGUCUUGCGGCCACUGGGUUGUUACUGGCUGUAUUUCAGAUGUGAAGGCAUCAGUCUUACAUUAUGAUGUCUGGGAACUAAACUCCACACAGACGGCCUCUUUCCUCUCAUUGCAGCAGGAGGUAGAUUUAAGGUCAGCUAACAGGAAGUGAAAAUGCCCGUUUCUUUGAAGUUAGAGUGUGGGAGGGUAAACUCUAGCUUCGAAGCAUCUAGCCCUUUGCGUCGUCUUCGUCAGCCAGAACAAUGUGUUUCUUUGUUGUGGGAAAUUGCAUUGUUGUCCCUUGUGGUAUUUGGUUUUACCACUUUAUUUCAACCUUGCUUCAGAUGUGCCCACAAUUCUUUUGUUUCCAGCAAAACAGGGCACUAAAUAACAGCAUCAGUAGUAUACAAUGUUUUCAUUCACAAUUACAGCUGAAAGCCCUUUAUUACACUUACAGAGAUUUUUAUUUUAAUUAGGGAACCAUCUGAGCAGCUCACCAAACCUUCAUAAACACCACAUUCUGGUGGUUUCCGAUCAGCUGGGAGGGAGAAAGUGUCAUUUAAGUAUGUCGUUUCCAUGUUGUAUUUCUACAGACAGCUCAUAAAAAUGACCUCCAGUGUCUACUUUUAAUCUACUUCUUACCUUCUCCAUGCAAAUCCCAUUAUGAAUGAUGUUCAGUUCUGUUAAUGGUUCUUCCUCUAAUAUGGACAGAACGCCUUACUGAAAUAUUUUGACCUAUAAGGAUUUUUCAGUCUCUGCUGCUCUGUGUUUCAUGGAAAGCUGCUGAAGCGUGUUACAUCUGCCGGGCUUCCAGCUGUUCAGGGCGUAUUGGGACACAGAAUCAGCAGGGAAAUUGCAAGGUAGUGGGACAUGAUUUUACAUCAAUUAAAGAUGGUGUACAGAUGUAACAGUGUUGAAGAAGAUGUGCUUACCUGAUCUAGAAGAGCUUUUCAUCAACUGUAAACCACUCUUCUCGCCACAGGAGUUUUCCUCGUUCAUUCUUGACUACUGCCUGGUUCAUCAGUUGGUAAAUUCACAUCCAACAACCACACCAUCACCACCGGCGCCCCCCAGGGAUGGUUUUUCUCCUCAAUACUCAUCUCCCUGUACACCAAUGACUGCACCUCUACUGAUCCUUUUGUCAAGCUUCUAAAGUUUGUGGACAACACUACAGUCAUCGGCCUCAUCCUGGACGGUGACGAGUCUGCUUAUAAAAGCGAGGUUGAGCAGCUGGCUGUCUGGUGCAGACUUAACAACCUGGAGCUGAACACGCUUGUGGAUUUCAGGAGAACCAGCCUCCCCCCAUCCACCAUCAUGAACAGUACUUUGGAGACAUUCAGGUACCUGGGCUCCAACACUCAGCACACUUCAACUUUGAACUGUUGCCAUCUGGUCAGCACUAGUACAGAGCAAUGAGCACCAAAACAGCCAGACAUAGGAAAAGUUUCUUCCCUC